rnacentral:rRNA from 1 species
CCUACUGGGGGCUGCAGUGGGGAAUAUUGGACAAUGGGGGCAACCCUGAUCCAGCCAUGCCGCGUGUGUGAAGAAGGCCCUCGGGUUGUAAAGCACUUUCAGUGAGGAAGAACGCCUGGUGGUUAAUACCCAUCAGGAAAGACAUCACUCACAGAAGAAGCACCGGCUAACUCCGUGCCAGCAGCCGCGGUAAUACGGAGGGUGCGAGCGUUAAUCGGAAUUACUGGGCGUAAAGCGCGCGUAGGUGGCUUGAUAAGCCGGUUGUGAAAGCCCCGGGCUCAACCUGGGAACGGCAUCCGGAACUGUCAAGCUAGAGUGCAGGAGAGGAAGGUAGAAUUCCCGGUGUAGCGGUGAAAUGCGUAGAGAUCGGGAGGAAUACCAGUGGCGAAGGCGGCCUUCUGGACUGACACUGACACUGAGGUGCGAAAGCGUGGGUAGCAAACAGGAUUAGAUACCCUAGUAGUC